rnacentral:tRNA from 1 species
ACGUCCUUAGUUCAGCCGGUAGAACGCAUGUUUCCAAAACCUGAUGUCGUGGGUUCAAGUCCUACAGGGCGUG